rnacentral:lncRNA from 1 species
CGCUUUUAUAUUCAUUGGAUCCGACCCAAGUCACCGAACUAGUUCGGAAUAUUGACUUCCCGUUCUUCCCCUCAAAAUCUUUAGCUCUCCAUCUCUACAACCAUCAUACUAUCUCCACUCACAUCUUAAAUCUCAAACCAAAAACUUUCUUUCCAUCUCCUUCUCAAAUCAAAAACCUCUUUCCCAUCUUCUUCUCGGCCAACCUUCAACCUGAUGGCUCCGAAGAUGCGUCUUCCCUAAUGCCUAAGAGCAAUCAGAAGUGAAGAAAACAGGAGAAGAGGAGCAAGCAAAGCAUCAGCUUCAUCACCUCCUUCA